rnacentral:snRNA from 1 species
AUGCUCGCUUCAGCAGCACAUGUACUAAAAUUGGAACGAUACAGAGAUUAGCAUGGCCCCUGUGCAAGGAUUACACACAACUGCCACCUGCACAGUUGG